AUUCAUCUGACGAGUCCAAAAUAGAAUGAAACGCACGUUCUGAAU
rnacentral:hammerhead_ribozyme from 1 species